rnacentral:misc_RNA from 1 species
CCCAGUUCUAUGAGCUUAUUCAAAAAAUGUUCAAAUUUGAAGGGGGCAUCGCAUCAAUCUUUUAAGGUUGUUGGACUUUGAGGUUCAUAAGUAGCUUUUGGAUCAGCAAUCAUGCAGGUCUGAAAACUCUUUGCUGUAGCUGUAACAUUUUAUUUGUGUUGAGAGUGGGGUUUAGAACUAGAAGGCAGUCAUUAUUUGAAUGGCAAAGAAAGUGCAGAGCAUUCUGUACCUUAUUAUUUAACAACUCAUAUAUCUGAUUUUUCUUUCAAAAAAAAAA